GUGAGGAAUUUUCCGCAAUGGGCGAAAGCCUGACGGAGCAAUGCCGCGUGAAGGAUGAAGGCCUAUGGGUUGUAAACUUCUUUUCUCAGAAAAGAAUUAUGACGGUAUCUGAGGAAUAAGCAUCGGCUAACUCUGUGCCAGCAGCCGCGGUAAGACAGAGGAUGCAAGAGUUAUCCGGAAUGAUUGGGCGUAAAGCGUCUGUAGGUUGUUUAAAAAGUAUUCUGUCAAAGAUUAGGGCUUAACCCUAGAUAGGCAGAAUAAACUUUUAAGCUAGAGGUUGGUAGAGGCAGAGGGAAUUCCCGGUGGAGCGGUGAAAUGCGUAGAUAUCGGGAGGAACACCAAAGGCGAAGGCACUCUGCUGGGCCAAUACUAACACUGAGAGACGAAAGCGAGGGGAGCAAAUGGGAUUAGAUACCCUGGUAGUCC
rnacentral:rRNA from 1 species